GUCUACGGCCAUACCACCCUGAACGCGCCCGAUCUCGUCUGAUCUCGGAAGCUAAGCAGGGUCGGGCCUGGUUAGUACUUGGAUGGGAGACCACCUGGGAAUACCGGGUGCUGUAGGCU
ensembl:rRNA 5S_rRNA 5S ribosomal RNA